ACCAAAAGAGAAAGCUGAGGGAAGGGAGGGAUAACUUAGGAGGUUGGGAUAAACACAUACACACUACUAUAUACAAAAUAGAUAACCAACAAGGACCUACUGUAUAGCACAGGGAACUAUACUCAAUAUUUUGUAAUAACCUAUAA